UUUCGGAACCGACACCCUCACCCUUCACCAGCACCAAUCGUUAACGAGUCAAGUUAGAAGGAUGCUGAGAUUAUCAAGUGAAGAACAUAAGAGGGUGAUUGCGUUCCAUAAUGUGCACGCACAAGCAAAAGGGAGUGGAUUUGGGAGAGUGUUACGAUCGCCUACGUUGUUUGAGGACAUGGUCCAGUGUAUUCUCCUGUGCAAUUGGCGUGGCUGAGAACUCUGAGCAUGGCCCAAGCACUAUGCGACCUUCAAGCAGAAUUGCAGCAUCAGUUACCUAGAGCAUCAAAUGAUGAAACUGGAAUAAUUUCUAGCUGCCAAUCAAACAAUAUUAAGUCUUUUGCUCCAGAAACACCUUCUGGAAAAGAAUCAAAGAGAAAGCCUCGCAAUUGCCUACAAAAAUUAGCAAACAAAUAUGCAAAAAAAUUAGGAGAUGAAGAAUCUGAGAUGAAAAUUAGUACAGCUUUAAUAUUGGAAAGUCCAAUCUUCGUGUCGGAGGAGACAGGGGGCGACUUCCUUGGGCAAUGUAAACCUUCCACGACCUCAGUUGACGAUUCUCUUAAGAGUACAGAAGUGACAGAAAAUGACAGCAGCUCCGCGGUUGGGAACUUUCCAAGCCCCAGAGAAUUGUCUAAACUUGAUGAGAACUUUUUGGCUAAGCGCUGUGGUCUCAGUUACAGGGCAGGCCGUGUGAUAAAGCUUGCUCAGGGUGUAGUUUCAAUUGAGAGAAUUAGAAUGUGAGGCAGAAUUAGAAUUAUCUUUUAAUUGUUCUAAACAGGUCCAUGCAAAGAGCUCCUCGGCUUGAACAAUUCAACAAGAUCUAGAAAACAUCUAUGGAAAAUAUGCACCAUUUCAGUUCCUAGCUUUCUGGUCAGAAAUUUGGGAUUUCUAUGAAGAAAGAUUUGGUAAGCUAAGUGAAAUGGGACAUUCUAGCUAUAAACUGAUUACUGCAGCAAAUAUGAGAGGGAAGGCAAGAAGAGGAAAAUAUCAGGUGUCAUAGCUUGUUAGUGUCAAAUUUCUGUGUCCUACUUAUUUAUUUUUAUAAUUUUCUAGCCAAAUAGUCAAUGUGAAUGUAAUCAUCCCUUGUUAUAUUCAAGUGUGAUAGUGUAUGUUUUUGUGUUGAA